CCUACGAGUGGCAGCAGUGAGGAAUAUUGGUCAAUGGGCGCGAGCCUGAACCAGCCAAGUAGCGUGCAGGAUGACUGCCCUACGGGUUGUCAACUUCUUUUAUCAAGGAAUAAAGUGAUGCACGUGUGCCUUUUUGUAUGUACUUUAUGAAUAAGGAUCGGCUAACUCCGUGCAAGCAGCCGCGGUAAUACGGAGGAUCCGAGCGUUAUCCGGCUUUAUUGGGUUUAAAGGGAGCGUAGAUGGGUUGUUAAGUCAGUUGUGAAAGUUUGCGGCUCAACCGUAAAAUUGCAAUUGAUACUGGCAGUCUUGAGGACAGUUGAGGUAGGCGGAAUUCGUGGUGUAGCGGCGAAAUGCUUAGAUAUCACGAAGAACUCCGAUUGCGAAGGCAGCUUACUAAACGGCCACUGACAUUGAUGCUCGAAAGUGUGGGUAUCAAACAGGAUUAGAUACCCUGGUAGUC
rnacentral:rRNA from 1 species